rnacentral:rRNA from 1 species
UACGGGAGGCAGCAGUGGGGAAUAUUGCACAAUGGGCGCAAGCCUGAUGCAGCCAUGCCGCGUGUAUGAAGAAGGCCUUCGGGUUGUAAAGUACUUUCAGCGGGGAGGAAGGCGAUGCGGUUAAUAACCGCGUCGAUUGACGUUACCCGCAGAAGAAGCACCGGCUAACUCCGUGCCAGCAGCCGCGGUAAUACGGAGGGUGCAAGCGUUAAUCGGAAUUACUGGGCGUAAAGCGCACGCAGGCGGUCUGUUAAGUCAGAUGUGAAAUCCCCGGGCUUAACCUGGGAACUGCAUUUUGAAACUGGCAGGCUUGAGUCUUGUAGAGGGGGUAGAAUUCCAGGUGUAGCGGUGAAAUGCGUAGAGAUCUGGAGGAAUACCGGUGGCGAAGGCGGCCCCUGGGACAAAGCUGACGCUCAGGUGCGAAAGCGUGGGGAGCAAACGAGGAUUAGGAUACC